AGAGUGUAGUGCAGCCAAGGAUGACUUGCCGGCAUUAGCCAAGUUUGUCAGCCUCUUCGCUCAUGUUCUUGCCGGCAAGUUGGCCUUGGCUAUAUUGUACUUUCU
rfam:Vigna angularis cultivar Jingnong 6 scaffold61_1, whole genome shotgun sequence.